GGUAGUCCACGCCGUAAACUAUGGACACUAGGCGUGGGGGGUGUCGACUCCUCCCGUGCCGGCGCUAACGCAUUAAGUGCCCCGCCUGGGGAGUACGGCCGCAAGGCUAAAACUCAAAGGAAUUGACGGGGGCCCGCACAAGCAGCGGAGCAUGUGGUUUAAUUCGACGCAACGCGAAGAACCUUACCUGGACUUGACAUGUGGGUGACCGGUGUGGAAACACACCUUUCCUUCGGGACACCUUCACAGGUGGUGCAUGGCUGUCGUCAGCUCGUGUCGUGAGGUGUCCUGUUAAG
rnacentral:rRNA from 1 species